GCUUGUUAUUGUUAUACAGUGGGCAUUCUGCUGAGGACGUCCAUGGCUACGCUAUAUCUUCUCCCAGAGUUUGUGUUUUUAUGCCCAGAUGUAUGAUCCACUGGCGUUUGCUUUCAGCACAGGGUGAGAGAGAUGGGCAGAGUCGAUCUUGCGCACGUGGACCACCAGUUUUCCCAGCGCCCUUUUUCCAUGGCCUGUGUUUUCUCCAGCCUAGGUUAUUGGCUCCUUUGCCCAAGAUCCAGUGGCUGAAGGUUUUUGGGGUUGUUUCUGCACCCUCUAUUCUGUUCCCUGUGUCCAGCUGUCUGUGUGCGUGCAUUGGUACCAUUCUGUCUCUCAUGGUCUGCCCAGGGAGGGAAGUGAGGAAGUCUUCCCAUUCCUUAGGAGACAGUCUGAGUCUCCCGAGGAUGUUCCCCCCGGGUGUCCUGUUGUCUCACUGAGAGAGCCAUUCAUUCACUUCCAUUGGCUCCGGGGUUUGUACUGGGUCUUGAGGUGAGUUCAGGUCAUGACUGUUGUAUGUGUGCUAUGUGUGUUUGUGUUUGCAGGACCUGAAUACACCUGGAACCAAGAGGAAGUGGCGUGGGAGUCCGUUUCCGCCUGGUACCUGGAGGGCGGAGACAGUGCCACCAAUUACCUGGCACACAGUGUAGAUGAAAGUUAUUUGACCUUUUCCACAUGGUGCAACUUCUCAGCGUUCCCCGAGCCUGCCUGGAGUCCGGGCUUCCCAGAUGGCCUGUGAUUCUGCCUUGACAAUGAAGCAGAAGUGUUCAACAUUUACCUGCUAAGAAGCUUAUGAAGAUGGAGGUUCCACAAAGGAAUAUAAACAACAAUAACCAGAUGUGGAAUAACCAUGGCAAGCUUUUCCAUUCAAGCUUUUCCUGUAACCUCUUCUUUUAAGCUCAUUUAAUAAAGGCAAAGUCUGCAUUGAAAUCUGCUCCAGUACGUCUAGCAAACCUGAAGACUCCAUCCAGAGAGAACACUGGUGAACCUGCUCCUCAGUGGCACAGGACAUGACUGGGCUCCCCUGCUGGCUGGGAGGCUAACAAUGGUAGACCCAGUGCCCUUGGGCCAUUGCAAAAGCAGCUCUACCAUAAGCAAGAGCACUGGUUCUUGGGUGUGCUGACUGACAGUGCCUGCUCGUUCAAACACGUGACAGCUGGAUAGAGACGUGCUGAGUGAAGUUCCUGCCGACCUUGUUCCAAAUGGCGUAGGCUGUUACGUUGGAGAGGUUGGUGCUACCUUCCCGAGAUGGGGUCUAACAGCCCGCUACGGUCUUCUCAACACUCUUCAACGAGAAGCACCAUUGCUACAUGUGUGAGGUUGACUUUCUCAGGCUGGAAGCAAGACUCAGUUGGCAGUUUCCAGUUCUCACCUGGUCCUGGUUCUUCCACAUUACUGAUCCAGGUGUUUGCCUUCCACACUGCAUUGUGGUAGCCACUCGACCAGUAGGCACAACCUGCUGGACUCCUGCCACCACGUCAUGUGCUCACGGAUGGGGCAGGUGUUUGUAGUGGGCUCUCAGUCACAGCAUGACUCCAUAGCACUUGUGCCUGCUUGCUCUAAACCAAACAAUUAGACAGUUCACAGAGAUUAUUGUGUUUUCCUUACGCUGCUGCCCAUCAGCUUUUCAAAAAUUAUAUUUAGGAGGAUUUAAAAAGAGGGAGGAUUGUGAAGUGCUGUGUACAUGCACUAAGUCCCUGAGAGGAAUGUGAUCAUCAUGCAAUACAAACAUAUCUCUGUGUAUAUAUCUGUCUCCAGGAGAUGCAGAGAGGGAG
rnacentral:lncRNA from 1 species